rnacentral:rRNA from 1 species
AGCCCGGCGAAAGCCGGAUUAAUACCGCAUACGACCUAUGGGUGAAAGCGGGGGAUCGCAAGACCUCGCGCUAUUGGAGCGGCCGAUGUCAGAUUAGGUAGUUGGUGGGGUAAAGGCCUACCAAGCCUACGAUCUGUAGCUGGUCUGAGAGGACGACCAGCCACACUGGGACUGAGACACGGCCCAGACUCCUACGGGAGGCAGCAGUGGGGAAUUUUGGACAAUGGGGGCAACCCUGAUCCAGCCAUGCCGCGUGCGGGAAGAAGGCCUUCGGGUUGUAAACCGCUUUUGUCAGGGAAGAAAUCCUUUGGGUUAAUACCUCGGAGGGAUGACGGUACCUGAAGAAUAAGCACCGGCUAACUACGUGCCAGCAGCCGCGGUAAUACGUAGGGUGCAAGCGUUAAUCGGAAUUACUGGGCGUAAAGCGUGCGCAGGCGGUUAUGCAAGACAGAUGUGAAUCCCCGGGCUCAACCUGGGAACUGCAUUUGUGACUGCAUAGCUAGAGUACGGUAGAGGGAGAUGGAAUUCCGCGUGUAGCAGUGAAAUGCGUAGAUAUGCGGAGGACACCGAUGGCGAAGGCAGUCUCC